rnacentral:rRNA from 1 species
UACGGCGGUCAUAGCGAAGGGGAAACGCCCGGCCCCAUUCCGAACCCGGAAGCUAAGCCCUUCAGCGCCGAUGGUACUGCCCCUAGGGGUGGGAGAGCAGGACACCGCCGAAC